CCUGAGUUUAUCAGAAUGUUAGUCCUUGAGAGAGAUUUAGCCUUAAAAUUAAUCUAUUUUGUGGGAAACAUUGUGAAAGUUACCCAAAGAGAAGAAAAUGUGUUUAUGAUGAAGUUGCUGUCAUCCAGAAACUUAUAAUCAAGUUGGUAAGAUAUGACAUAAUUUGCUAUUUAAAGCACACGUGCACACACACACACACACACACAAAUUCAAGGCUGGAUAUGUACUUAAGUAUAUCAAAUUUUUAAGUUGCUAUUUUGAUUUUUUUCAAAUAUACAGAUGUGUCUGAAUGCAGGGAUUAUAGCUGAGC
rnacentral:lncRNA from 1 species